CGCUCAGAUUGAACGCUAGCCGGGAUGCCUUACACAUGCAAGUCGAACGGCAGCACGGACUUCGGUCUGGUGGCGAGUGGCGAACGGGUGAGUAAUGUAUCGGAACGUGCCCAGUAGCGGGGGAUAACUACGCGAAAGCGUAGCUAAUACCGCAUACGCCCUACGGGGGAAAGCAGGGGAUCGNAAGACCUUGCACUAUUGGAGCGGCCGAUAUCGGAUUAGCUAGUUGGUGGGGUAACGGCUCACCAAGGCGACGAUCCGUAGCUGGUUUGAGAGGACGACCAGCCACACUGGGACUGAGACACGGCCCAGACUCCUACGGGAGGCAGCAGUGGGGAAUUUUGGACAAUGGGGGAAACCCUGAUCCAGCCAUCCCGCGUGUGCGAUGAAGGCCUUCGGGUUGUAAAGCACUUUUGGCAGGAAAGAAACGUCAUGGGUUAAUACCCCGUGAAACUGACGGUACCUGCAGAAUAAGCACCGGCUAACUACGUGCCAGCAGCCGCGGUAAUACGUAGGGUGCAAGCGUUAAUCGGAAUUACUGGGCGUAAAGCGUGCGCAGGCGGUUCGGAAAGAAAGAUGUGAAAUCCCAGAGCUUAACUUUGGAACUGCAUUUUUAACUACCGGGCUAGAGUGUGUCAGAGGGAGGUGGAAUUCCGCGUGUAGCAGUGAAAUGCGUAGAUAUGCGGAGGAACACCGAUGGCGAAGGCAGCCUCCUGGGAUAACACUGACGCUCAUGCACGAAAGGCGUGGGGAGCAAAACAGGAUUAGAUACCCUGGUAGUCCACGCCCUAAACGAUGUCAACUAGCUGUUGGGGUCUUCGGACCUUGGUAGCGCAGCUAACGCGUGAAGUUGACCGCCUGGGGAGUACGGUCGCAAGAUUAAAACUCAAAGGAAUUGACGGGGACCCGCACAAGCGGUGGAUGAUGUGGAUUAAUUCGAUGCAACGCGAAAAACCUUACCUACCCUUGACAUGUCUGGAAUCCUGAAGAGAUUUAGGAGUGCUCGCAAGAGAACCGGAACACAGGUGCUGCAUGGCUGUCGUCAGCUCGUGUCGUGAGAUGUUGGGUUAAGUCCCGCAACGAGCGCAACCCUUGUCAUUAGUUGCUACGAAAGGGCACUCUAAUGAGACUGCCGGUGACAAACCGGAGGAAGGUGGGGAUGACGUCAAGUCCUCAUGGCCCUUAUGGGUAGGGCUUCACACGUCAUACAAUGGUCGGGACAGAGGGUCGCCAACCCGCGAGGGGGAGCCAAUCCCAGAAACCCGAUCGUAGUCCGGAUCGCAGUCUGCAACUCGACUGCGUGAAGUCGGAAUCGCUAGUAAUCGCGGAUCAGCAUGUCGCGGUGAAUACGUUCCCGGGUCUUGUACACACCGCCCGUCACACCAUGGGAGUGGGUUUUUACCAGAAGUAGUUAGCCUAACCGUAAGGGGGGCGAUUACC
rnacentral:rRNA from 1 species